UGAUGUCAUGCAGGAGAAGAAUUUAUUUUCGCCGAAGGAGUUAUACUCUCAGGUGUUCAGUUUUUGAACGGGACUGUUUGAU
rnacentral:ncRNA from 2 species